GACGAACGCUGGCGGCGUGCUUAACACAUGCAAGUCGAGCGGAGCGGCGAACGGGUGAGUAACGCGUGAGUAACUGCCCCCCUCUCUGGGAUAACAGUUGGAAACGGCUGCUAAUACCGGAUAGUGGGGGAUGACUCGCGGCCUAUCAGCUUGUUGGUGGGGUAGUGGCCUACCAAGGCGACGACGGGUAGCCGGCCUGGGAGGGCGACCGGCCAAAUUGGGCUGAGGUACGGCCCAACAUGCUACGGGCGGCAGCAGGUGGGAAUUGGGCACAAUGGGGGAAACGCUGAGGCAGCAACGCCGCGUGCGGGAUGACUGCCUUCGGGUUGUAAACCGCUUUCAGCCAUGACGCGGUAGUGGCAGAAGAAGCACCGGCUAACUACGUGCCAGCAGCCGCGGUAAUAC
rnacentral:rRNA from 1 species